rnacentral:rRNA from 1 species
UAGGGAAUCUUCCACAAUGGACGCAAGUCUGAUGGAGCAACGCCGCGUGAGUGAAGAAGGCUUUCGGGUCGUAAAACUCUGUUAUUGAAGAAGAACGUGUGUGACAGUAACUGGUCAUGCAGUGACGGUAUUCAAUCAGAAAGUCACGGCUAACUACGUGCCAGCAGCCGCGGUAAUACGUAGGUGGCAAGCGUUGUCCGGAUUUAUUGGGCGUAAAGCGAGUGCAGGCGGUCUUUUAAGUCUGAUGUGAAAGCCUUCGGCUUAACCGAAGAA